ensembl:snRNA U1 U1 spliceosomal RNA
AUACUUACCUGGCAGGGGAGAUACCAUGAUCACGAAGGUGGUUUUCCUAUGGAGAGGCUCAUCCAUUGCACUCCCGAUGUGCUGACCCCUGCGAUUUCCCCAAACGUGGGAAACUCAACUGCAUAAUUUGUGGUAGUGGCAGACUGUGUUUAUGCUUUCCCCUG